GUGGGAGCUCCACCCGCUACCCAGAUUUACGCAGCCAACCCUGGGGAAUUCUGUCUGGGCAGACUCAGCUCCCGCUUUCUUGGAAACCAGAGCGUCUGGAGAAGCGCCGCUGUCCUUGCCCACAGUUUACUACGGGAGGAUGUGACGGGUUGUAGUCAGCAGUUUCUUUUCUAUGGCUCCCUCUUUAGCCCAACACUGUGGCCUCAGGUCCUGGGGUUCCCUCCUUGGUGAAGAGAGAAGGCUUUUUCCAUCUAGUACAGGCUGGCGCUGAGGCUCGCCACCAUAGGAAGGGCAGAGUAUGUGCUAGAAGAAGACCUUUAGCCAGCGGGAGUGGGGGAGGGGUGGACGCGGACAGCCUUUUCCUCCCAGCUGGGACAAGAAUGGGGGCGGCUGGAGAGUCAGAGACAGCCAGGCAGGCAGGCAGCUGGGGGCCUGGUUUCUCCCUCUGAGCAGAGUCUGGGAAUCCUGGAGAUGCGGGGAACCAGGUCCUCAAGGAAGCUGUGACCUAAUAAGGGCAGUGAGGCAGAGCUCAGUGUCCCAAGAAGAGAUGACAAGGGCAAGGCUGUUGAUGCCUCAGAAAACUCCGCUGUGUGCUCCUGAGAGAAGGAGAGCAGGAAGGCAAAGAACGUUUCUGAAAGUGGACCACACUGCCAGAACCGUGGACUCGGGGCCUUCUGAAGUUGGUUAUGUACCUAACCAGAGGGUCUUAACUGAGGCAGUGGUUGACCUGUCAGCCCCAGGAAUAUGGCUUUGAUUUGCUAACAGGUCCUAAUGAAGUUAUUUAUGAAUACAUGAAUAAUCCUUUACGGUAGGAAUGUAGUUGCCACCCUAAACCUCACCUAUUGAUUUCCUGAUGUUUAGUAGAUGGUAGUCACUUAAGGAGCCUUAAUGUGGACACCAUACUCACACACACACACACACACACACACACGCACGCACGUGAGUGCACAGGUGUACAUAGGAAGAGAAGCUGAUGAAAUGUUCAAGGUGGCCAUAAUUGCAGUGUUAUGUCUUCUUUUUAGCUAUUUUUUAAACUAGAUACUGUCAGAAUUGAGUUGAAUUGUAAACAAGUGAUUCAUGCCCAUUGUAGGAAACUUAGGAAAUGCCGGUGGCCGAAGGGAAAGACUGCUUACCCUUAUUCCGCUCCCGCAGGGUUGUCUCUGACAGCAUUUUGGCUAUAGCCUUCUGUGCAGAUACGUUUGUUUUAAAACAAAAGUAGAAACACACUGCACAUAAUUUUUAGAGGCUUGCUUUUUAAUAUUUUACAAUAUUUAUAAGUAUAUAUCCCUCUAAGUAACAUAUACUUCUAUAAUAUUUUUUAAAAGGCUGCUUUCUGUACUCUGUCAUAUAAAUAUAUCCUAAUUUAUUUAACAAACCUCUGAUUGUACAUUUAGUUUGUGUUUUAUUUUGCUAUGAUUAUACAUCUUUGUACCCAUUACCAAUCUGUUUUAACAUAGCUUUUUUAAUGAAAAAUUUCAAGCAAUCGCAAAAGUAGAGAGUGAGGUGGGGAACUCCUGCUUACCCACCACCAGCCUCAGUAAUGACGAGUGUGUCAUCAUCUGUGUCCCCUCCCGCCCCUGCUGGAUUCGAUGCAAAUCUAAGCUCUCAUAUAAUUUCUUCCGUAAAUACUUCAGAAUGUGUUUCUAGAAGAUUAGGGCUCUCUCUUGUUUUAGUAACCUGACCACCAUUCCAUUAUCAAUCUAUAAAAAUUAAUAAUAAUUCUACUCAAAAGAAUUGAAAGCAGGGUCUUGAAGAGGUAUUUGUAUACUCGUGUUCACAGCAGCGUUAUUCGCAACUGCCAAGAGGUGGAAGCAACCCAAGAGUCCGUUGAUGGAUGAAUGGGUAAACAAAACGUGGUGUAUACAUGCAAUGGAAUAUGCGAUAUUGUGAUUUAUAAUAAAUAUAUAUUUGGUCUUCAUCCCCGUUUCUGACACAGAGCUCUUAAAACUUGAAAUUUCCUAAGUCAUGACAGGGAUAAAGGUGUCUUCUGUCUUGUUAAUGAGGUGGCUUUGGACCCACCCUGAGGAUGGGGCUGGUUGCUCGGGGAACCAACCUUGUGAUUAGAGGGUUGAACUUUCAGUUCCACCCCUGACCUCCGGGCAGAGGAGAGGAGCUGGAGGUUGCAUCAACCACCAAUGGCUAAUGAUUUAAUCAAUCAUGGCUGUCUAACUAAGUCUCCAUAAAAACCCGAAAGGACGGGGUUCGGAUUGGUGAACACGUGGGAACUG
rnacentral:lncRNA from 1 species